GAGAGAGCGUCAGCGAGAGAGCGUUGCCGCAGGCAACGACCCGAAGGGCGAAGCGCGCAGCGCUGAGUAAUCCUUCCCCCACCACCA
rnacentral:sRNA from 1 species